rnacentral:lncRNA from 1 species
GGGCAGGGGAUGGGGCAUCAGGGUGCUGGAUGAGAAUCUGGCUCUGCUCUGGGCGGGCUGUCACCAUGGUGCUGGCAGUACCCACCACCAUUCCACAACCACCAUUGAUUGAGGAGACUUGGUGCUGGUUAUACAGACUACUGACUUCGUGAAAAUUCAGAAAUCAAAAUAAUUCCUGAAUCUGCUGGCCACUGGAGAGCUGUGAACACUUUCUCUGCCAACAAGGAUUACCCAAUUACCAAAAGCAAACAAAGACAAACUGGCUAUUCAAGUACUGCAAACCAGAUAGGAAAGAGACAGUAUCCAUGACCUUCUGUUCAUGCGGUGGAGGAAGAAAUUGCUUCCCAGAAAGGCUUAGCCCACUCCAUUCUACUAGAUAAAGGAAAAACAAAAAGCCACUCCACUCUGACAAGCCGAUUACUGUCUAUGGAGAAGCAAAAUGCCUCCCUUAGGACUAUGGGAAUAGCCAACAAGUCUCUCUAUUCUAAGGAUAAAACCAGACAUGUGGACCAUUUUUGCAUUGAGCGUUUAACCACAGUCAUCUUUAUGACCAAAAAAGAACAGGAAUUUAAACAAGAAUGGAUAAAUAUAAAUUAAGUCUAUUUUUCUUCCUGAUUCUUCAAGAGUAAGUUCCUUGAUCUUAACUUCUAUUUAUGAAAGUUCUGGCCUGAAAAGAACCUUGAGGGGUUAUCGAGUCCAUCCUUCUGCUUUCCAGGAGAAUUCAUAACUAAUGCUAUCAGAUGGAUGAGAAGGGUCACUAGCCUAGGAGUUCAGAGAUGUCAGAGGCAGAAUAUACUGCAUUUGGAUUUCAACAAGAUACCUCUUGCUAUUUCAUAGAAAAUAAAGGUUAGAUUAUAUAAAAUGGCA